AUUGAACGCUGGCGGUAUGCUUAACACAUGCAAGUCGAACGGUAGCAGGCCUUCGGGUGCUGACGAGUGGCGGACGGGUGAGUAAUGCAUAGGAAUCUGCCUGUUAGUGGGGGACAACUUAGGGAAACUUAAGCUAAUACCGCAUACGCCCUACGGGGGAAAGCGGGGGACCUUUUAGGCCUCGCGCUAACAGAUGAGCCUAUGUUGGAUUAGCUAGUUGGUAGGGUAAAGGCCUACCAAGGCUGCGAGCCAUAGCUGGUCUGAGAGGAUGAUCAGCCACACUGGGACUAGGACACGGCCCAGACUCCUACGGGAGGCAGCAGUGGGGAAUAUUGGACAAUGGGCGGAAGCCUGAUCCAGCAAUACCGCGUGUGUGAAGAAGGCCUGAGGGUUGUAAAGCACUUUCAAUAGGGAGGAAAAAGGUAGGUUUAAUACGUCUGCCCUUGACAUUACCUAUAGAAGAAGCACCGGCUAACUCCGUGCCAGCAGCCGCAGUAAAAC
rnacentral:rRNA from 1 species